UACGAAGGGGGCUAGCGUUGCUCGGAAUCACUGGGCGUAAAGGGUGCGUAGGCGGGUCUUUUAAGUCAGGGGUGAAAUCCUGGAGCUCAACUCCAGAACUGCCUUUGAUACUGAAGAUCUUGAGUUCGGGAGAGGUGAGUGGAACUGCGAGUGUAGAGGUGAAAUUCGUAGAUAUUAGGAAGAACACCGGUGGCGAAGGCGGCCCACUGGUCCGGUACUGACGGCUGAGGUGCGAAAGCGUGGGGGAGCAAACAGG
rnacentral:rRNA from 1 species